UUUCGUCAGCAAGAGGGAAGGGUUUGACACAUUGUUUUUUCUUUUUUUGGAAACAACGUGUCAAACCCUUCCCUCCUGCUGAUGAAA
rnacentral:pre_miRNA from 1 species